rnacentral:lncRNA from 1 species
GAAAACCUCAUGAAAAAAUGAUAGUUCCAAGUAUGUUUUUGACUGUUAUCUGUUGCCUAUUCGUUUACAGGCUACAAGCCUACUGAGACAUGAAUUUGCUACAAAAGUAAAAAAGUAUCAAAAUUCUUUUAACCAAGAGCUCAAUCAUGUUCAAAAUAGUAGGACGAACUUGUAGGAAAUCAAUAAUAAAGCAGCUGAUAAAUUCAAAAUAAUGUCUAAAAUCACAACAAAUCAACUUAUAGCUCCAUGUAAAAAGCAAAAAUUUCAGUUCUUGGCCCUAACAGAAUUGUUUUCCUUGAUCCGAGCUCGGGUAUCCAGCUUGACAAAACGUUUG